rnacentral:rRNA from 1 species
UAAGACGUAGGGAGCGAGCGUUGUCCGGAUUUACUGGGCGUAAAGAGCGCGUAGGCGGCUCGUUAAGUAUGAAGUGAAAUCUCCAGGGCUCAACCCGGAAACUGCUUCGUAGACUGGCGAGCUUGAGGAAUGCAGAGGUAAGUGGAAUUCCUGGUGUAGCGGUGAAAUGCGUAGAUAUCAGGAGGAACACCGACGGCGAAGGCAGCUUACUGGGCAUUAUCUGACGCUGAGGCGCGAAAGCGUGGGUAGCAAACAGGAUUAGAUACCCUGGUAGUCCACGCCCUAAACGAUGGAUACUAGACGUAAGAGGUAUCGACCCCUCUUGUGUCGCAGCUAACGCACUAAGUAUCCCGCCUGGGGAGUACGGCCGCAAGGUUG